GAAUACAUCGGAAUCUACUUUUUCGUGGGGGAUAACGAAGGGAAACUUACGCUAAUACCGCAUACGACCUACGGGUGAAAGCAGGGGAUCUUCGGACCUUGCGCGAUUGAAUGAGCCGAUGUCGGAUUAGCUAGUUGGCGGGGUAAAGGCCCACCAAGGCGACGAUCCGUAGCUGGUCUGAGAGGAUGAUCAGCCACACUGGAACUGAGACACGGUCCAGACUCCUACGGGAGGCAGCAGUGGGGAAUAUUGGACAAUGGGCGCAAGCCUGAUCCAGCCAUACCGCGUGGGUGAAGAAGGCCUUCGGGUUGUAAAGCCCUUUUGUUGGGAAAGAAAUCCAGCUGGUUAAUACCCGGUUUUUUAUUAUUGUACCCAAAGAAUAAGCACCGGCUAACUUCGUGCCAGCAGCCGCGGUAAUACGAAGGGUGCAAGCGUUACUCGGAAUUACUGGGCGUAAAGCGUGCGUAGGUGGUCGUUUAAGUCUGUUGUGAAAGCCCUGGGCUCAACCUGGGAACUGCAGUGGAAACUGGACGACUAGAGUG
rnacentral:rRNA from 1 species